GACGAACGCUGGCGGCGUGCUUAACACAUGCUAGUCGAACGGAAAGGCCCUGCUUUUGUGGGGUGCUCGAGUGGCGAACGGGUGAGUAACACGUGAGUAACCUGCCCUUGACUUUGGGAUAACUUCAGGAAACUGGGGCUAAUACCGGAUAGGAGCUCCUGCUGCAUGGUGGGGGUUGGAAAGUUUCGGCGGUUGGGGAUGGACUCGCGGCUUAUCAGCUUGUUGGUGGGGUAGUGGCUUACCAAGGCUUUGACGGGUAGCCGGCCUGAGAGGGUGACCGGCCACAUUGGGACUGAGAUACGGACCAGACUCCUACGGGAGGCAGUAGUGGGGAAUAUUGCGCAAUGGACGGAAGCCUGAUGCAGCAACGCCGGGUGCGGGAUGACGGCCUUCGGGUUGUAAACCGCUUUCGCCUGUGACGAGGCGAGAGUGACGGUAAUGGGUAAAGAAGCACCGGCUAGCUACGUG
rnacentral:rRNA from 1 species